UGGGGAAUAUUGCACAAUGGGCGAAAGCCUGAUGCAGCGACGCCGCGUGAGGGAUGACGGCCUUCGGGUUGUAAACCUCUUUCAGCAGGGACGAAGCGCAAGUGACGAUACCUGCAGAAGAAGCACCGGCUAACUACGUGCCAGCAGCCGCGGUAAUACGUAGGGUGCAAGCGUUGUCCGGAAUUACUGGGCGUAAAGAGUUCGUAGGCGGUUUGUCGCGUCGUUUGUGAAAACCAGCAGCUCAACUGCUGGCUUGCAGGCGAUACGGGCAGACUUGAGUACUGCAGGGGAGACUGGAAUUCCUGGUGUAGCGGUGAAAUGCGCAGAUAUCAGGAGGAACACCGGUGGCGAAGGCGGGUCUCUGGGCAGUAACUGACGCUGAGGAACGAAAGCGUGGGUAGCGAACAGG
rnacentral:rRNA from 1 species